AAGCUUGUAGCUCAGGGGUUAGAGCGUACGCCUGAUAAGCGUAAAGCCAGUAGUUCAAAUCUACUUAAGCUUA